rnacentral:rRNA from 1 species
UACGUAGGGGGCAAGCGUUGUCCGGAAUUAUUGGGCGUAGAGCGCGUGUAGGCGGCCAGAUAAGUCCGCUGUGAAAUCUUGAGGCUCAACUUCGAGCUGUCGGUGGAAACUGUCUGGCUAGAGUCCGGAAGAGGAGAGUGGAAUUCCUGGUGUAGCGGUGAAAUGCGCAGAUAUCAGGAAGAACACCCGUGGCGAAGGCGGCUCUCUGGGACGGUACUGACGCUGAGACGCGAAAGCGUGGGGAGCAAACAGG